UAGGGAAUAUUGGGCAAUGGGCGCAAGCCUGACCCAGCAACGCCGCGUGAGGGAAGAAGGUUUUCGGAUUGUAAACCUCUGUCCUUGGUGACGAAGGAAGUGACGGUAGCCAAGGAGGAAGCCCCGGCUAACUACGUGCCAGCAGCCGCGGUAAUACGUAGGGGGCGAGCGUUGUCCGGAAUUACUGGGCGUAAAGGGUGCGUAGGCGGUAUGCUAAGUUGGAUGUGAAAUACCCGGGCUUAACUUGGGGGUGCAUUCAAAACUGGCGUACUAGAGUUCAGGAGGGGGAAGCGGAAUUCCUAGUGUAGCGGUGAAAUGCGUAGAUAUUAGGAGGAACACCAGUGGCGAAGGCGGCUUUCUGGACUGACACUGACGCUGAGGCACGAAAGCGUGGGGAGCAAACAG
rnacentral:rRNA from 1 species